rnacentral:sRNA from 1 species
GUAUGGCUGGGCUUGUGAUAACGUCAUAAACUAUGAGGUUGUUGGCGCCUAUGGUGGGAUUCUCAAUAUCGAUGCUCAGAGACCAGAGAUGUUCUUCGCAUUAUGUGGAGGAGGGAACAAUUUCGGAAUCGUAACCAGGUUCACCGUGAAUAUAUACCCUCAAGGUCCGAUGUGGCAAGGGCUGCGAGAGUUCAGCAUGGAUCACAAACAGGCUGUUCUCGAUACAUACGUGAACCUCGGGAGAGCAAUCAUCAAUGAUCUCAGGAGCAGCAACGGUUUCAUAGCCUUUACCGUCACGCAGGAAGCG